rnacentral:lncRNA from 1 species
AAACUGGCUUUUGAAUUAAAGCAAUAUAGCAUACUGUGGGGGUCAGUCAAUUCCAGUAAGUGGGCGGUACUGGCACACAUAAUAAGAUAAUGUGAAAAAUUAACUACAACCCAAGAUUUUUGACCUUCAGUGCAACUUCAAAGUUGAAAGAGAUUAACUUAAAAUAAUGAUCUUUUUAAUUUGCAUUUUGGAAUUUAUCUUUUCCUUAGUUCUUGCAAAAGCACAUUGAUGCACAUAGAUAUUUGGGAUAUUAUCUAUAGUGGUAUAAAAUUAAUAAGGAAUUUUAUCAUAUUACCUUUUCAAUUUUACAUCUUUUAGUCUUUAUGUGUUUCUAGAAUUCUUCUUUGGGUAGUUACAAUUUGAUAACAAAUCCAAAAGUAAUUUGUAGCAUUUCAGGUUAAGUUUUUAUUUUGUAAUGAAUAGAUUUUCAGAAAGUUUGUCUGGUCUUCCUCCUUCAUGCCUCUGCUAGUCGCCUGGCACAACUAUAUCCAAAGGGCUUGGACUCGAUUCUUCACGUUUUUUCUGACUCAGGACUACUUU